CGGGGCGGGGAAUCGCCUCCGCGCAUGCGCGCGCCUCUCCCCACGGCUGCCGCCUGCAUGGCUGCGCUCCAGGAAACGCAGACGGAGCAACGCCGAGACACCGCACGCCGAGACCGCAUCCGCAGGCACGACUGUGCGACGUUUCACCAAAAGCCAGAUGACUCCGAACCGACCCUAGCGUCGCAUUUACGACCGAUUCCGACCGUGCACACGAACUCUGAGCGACGCUGGUGCCGUCUGCUAGCCCAAAACUUGUCGUCUGCAAACACCUGUUGACGGCGACGAGUCCGCGCUUUGCGGGGCGGCGCGGGGUGGCUUGGAGAAAUAUCGAGCUGUGCGGAAAAGCCGACAGUCUGCUCUGCGCGCUCUCCGAAAGAAGGCUCUACCGACAACAAGAAAAUCGACAGCCUGUGAGCGUUUUUUUUUUUUUUUUUCUUCUUUGCUGGAUACGGGACAAGUUACGAGUCGACAGACACUUCCGGAGUCAACGAGUUUGGACAGUGCCACGUUUGGAGCACGUUGUUUGCAGGAUUCCAGGGCAAACGCUUCCCGAUGACGUCGUCCGGUGGCCACGCCCGUCGUCGACUAUGAUUGGACGAAAUAAAGGCGGCUCGGGUCCACUCACCAAUCACGCCCCUCGACGCGCCUGCCGCGCGUAAACGCAGCGUGCAGCGUGGAUCGGCAGAGGAGCCCGGGCCGUCGCGGCCGCGACUCCCUGGGGAUCAUGCCGAGCGGCGUGCACCGGGCGGACUCGACGCGCUCCGACCACUCGGACACGUCGGUGCGCAGCGCAGAGUCCAGGGGCUCGGCGGGCAAGAAGGUCAGCUUCAGCCGGGCCGUCAGGGGUGAAGAAGUUCCCCAGGAGGGGCCACGAGACGCCCACCGAAGGGGGCGGCGUCCGGGGACUUCGUCGACGGGCCGCCGUCCCCGGAAAAGAAGUUUUGGUGCAAGGUGUAUAAGAAUAGACACCAGGAGAAGCCCCGAAUCCCCGAAGAAACAUCUUACGAGACGGUGUCCGACUCUGCGGCCUACCGAACGGGAAGGUCGACAUCGAGGACGUCUAGAAAAAGGCCCGACUCCCCCGUGGUGAAGAGAAACCACGUCAAGAAGAUCGUGCAGAAGUUCGACCGGGAAGCCAUGCUGCGCCAGGACUGCAGCUCCAGAGAGUCGUCGCCGCCACCACCGGUCGUACGAAGCCAUUCGGUCGAAGAGUAUACCACCAGACCUGGUACUCCCCUGGAACUCCAGAGGAGCCCGACCCCAAAGAGGAGGAACAAACUCGUCAACGGCGUCAAAGUCAUGCUGGCCCCACUGACCAGGAAGAAACGAGCCACGGCCAAAACAGAUACUCGGGAUGGUACCGUUAGGCAUGACGUCCUCCAGGAGGUUAACAACAACCACGACGAUGUUGAUGAUGACGACGAUCACGACAAUCGCGAUCACGAAGAAGAUGCCCCUCCGGUUAUGGUUGACAAGUCAACGCAGGUCAAGCCUUUUCAACUGGAGGAGUUCUUCGCGACAGACGUGUCUCACUUGUACAGCCAGGUGGACAAGACGAAAAAAACGUCCUUCAGGACGCCCGACAUCUACGUGUCCAGUCCGCAGGAGACGAGGCCGUACUCGCCGGGCACUAGUCCCAAGUACGCGUACGAUUACACCGACAAAAGUGCCGCGUCAUCACCGGCACUAAGUAGGGGGACGCCGGAUCCGGAGUACGGAAGCAUCCGCAAGGUCAAAUCGUCCAGCCGCAGUUUUGGCUUUAACUUGGGCCGCUGGGAACACAAGAACAAGGACGACCGAGAUUCGGACGCCUCGAGCAUCACCAGUGAGCCGGCUCGCGACAGUCGACCGGGAAGUGUCUUACGCGAGUUUGAUUCCAAGAAGCGAGAACUCAGCUACGAGAACGUCUCCGGGAGACUUUCUGACGACGCCAAGUCGCGCACGGCUUCCCCGACGACUUCCACGUCUGGGGUGUGGGUCCGUGAUAUCGACAAGGACUACCGGCGUGGCAUGGCGGAUUCAGACGUCACUGUUCCAAGUAGCGGCUACGUUUUCACGUACAGCGCCACGCUAGGAGGAGGUCGUUCGGGAAAGAAGAAGGCGUCCAAGGAGACCUCGUCCAGGGACACGUCCCCCGCAAUCCCAGAAAGCGUCCAGUCCAGGUCUCCAUCGCGAGGAGCGCGGUCAGUAAGUUCGGACCACACUUCCGUGCGUGGAGGUCUCGCAGCCGCUUACCAGGCGAGGCAGAAGGCCGCCACGUCGUCGUCCAAUGGCCGAGUCGCCAAGAGUUCGUCUCCAUUGACGAGGGCCAACGGCGGUCCAGGUUCUUCGGCUGGUUCCGCGGCUAGCGAGCCAGAGUACCGGAGGAACACGGUGGUCUUGUACAUACCAGGAGUGAGUCACCACGUUACGCCGUCCGACGAGUCUGUCAGGGUGUCCAGAAGUCAGUCGAUGCUCCAGAAAGACAAGCCCCGUACCAGGUCGGCCCAGAAACAGCCCAAGUCGUCGUCUUCGUCGUCCAUGCAGCCACACCAAAGGGCUGCUUCGGAAACGGACAUCAGGAGGACCAAGUCCAUUCCCAAGGGUGCCAAGUUUCCCUGGCUCAGGAUCAAGCCCACUGUGACAGCUACGCCUGUGCACUGAGGUCCAGCGUCUUUCUGUUCCUUCGGCUUCAUUGCUGUACCUUCGCAGGGAUGCUGUGUUUGCUCUGCAGGGCAAUAUUUUGGGCCCGCCCGCUUUUGGUUAUUUAGUUAAUGCAGUGGGUACUUUGUAUGCUCUUGCAGACCAUCAGAGGGUGUGUUCGAACAUUUUGCUUCAACACCAAAGUGACAGGACAAAGACGCGACAAGAUCAUAUCCCCGGAGAGUUUUCUUUAUUGCUUACAUUGCAUAUAACAGAAGAAAAAAAAAAUAUUUGACUCAUGCCCCUAUUCCACAAUCGUACUUGUAGUCAUCCUUCAAAUCGAAUGAUUCAGUACCUUUAUUGAUGGCGAAGCGAUCACUGAAAUCAGAAUUACGGGUAAUGCACUGAUGAAUACUUUAGCACAGGAUAACACAAUGAGUGCUACCACUUAAUAUCUCGUUUUUGGUGCCUACUUGGGGUGUUCUCACAAUGUUCGCGCACGCCCUUUGAAUAUGGUCGAUCUUCAAAAUGGUCUGCUUUAUUCCGCGGAAAACUGGCUGUCCAGGACUACCUUUUCCGACCUUGCCAUGAUGGCAAGGAGCUUAGAAAAUCUAGGAGAGUUCCUAGAAGGCGCUAUCUCCAGAGGUUAAGGCUUUUAAUAUCAAGCUACCAUAUUGACGGGUUCCCUUGUAAGGAAACCCGUCAAUAUGGUAUGGUCCGAACUUAACUCUUGGUCAAAUACCUUCUGAUAGAAGGUAUUUGACCAAAAGUUAGGUUAGACGUAGCAAGAAUCUUUGGUUUUCUUUCAAAAGAUCCAGACCAAAAAUAUAUUUGUAAAAGAGACUUAUACGUAUAUAAAUUCACAACUAAUGUCUUUAUUGCUGAAGUUUGUUUGUGAAUAUUGACAGCGACGAAACUUUUUAAAGAACUUAGGGGCAGUUGCACUUGUUAAGUCUAGACACGUUUCUUUAACGCAUGUAAUACUUUUCACUCUAACCAAGUCCAGGACACAAAAGGACCGUAACAUCCAUCUACACAAGCGCCUUGACUAGAAAUAAUUCAAAACCGAGUCAUAGGCGUUACUGGACAGGCCAGGUGAGGACAAGUUAAUUUCUAGUUAGUUGUAGGCAGACAUGUACCGUAGUGGAGAGAUAACUCCUUUACUUUUAAGUUGCAUGAACGGGUGGUCCGACUUAAAACGUUUAAAAAAAGGUCGUUGUUGGCUUGUCUCCCACAGAGCAUCCCUGCAGCUAGAAAUAUUGAACAAAAAGCGCCUGCCUUACACGCCGCGAAGCAUCUAUACGCAUGUACUAUAUGUAUUGUAUACGCUCGGCACUGCUUGAACUUACUGUGAGUGUGGACCAAAUUGUGGCGCUUUGAGCGGUCGAGCAUAUUUUCGACUACAACUUUCUGCGGCACUGCUAAGUGAGUGAUGUGUUUUCGCCGAAACACUAAAUUUUGUGUCAAUGCUGUGUUCUUGGCCGUCGCACUUACACUGGAAUUAAAAUGGCCUCUAAAAAGCCAUCAUCGGCCUUUCCGUUAUCGAACGAUGAUGAUGAUACUCUAUGCCUCAGUGGCGACAGCUAUUGCACAUAUUCGCAGUGGGACAGACAUUGUCUAAAUUGGCCUAGGUAUAACCGCUGUGCGUUCACAGGGUAAGGGACUCAACAGAGGUCGAUGCAUUGUCAAGAAGUGGCUACCAUGCAGGGUGAACCUUUUAUUUGCUAUGGUAUCCGCCAUCUUGAAUGGAUGGAUGGAUACGGCUGAGCCCAGUGAAUUGGGCGGCGGCUUACGCCACCUACUGCAAGCUUUUAAUUUGAACAAUUUACUUUAAAAAGACCCAGUAAGGGUAAGCCUUCCACCAGUAUAUUUACAAAUUUAAAAUGAAUGGAGCAUGGUAAAUAAGCUCAUGCCUUGAAGCCACGCGUGCGUCGGCAUGCAUGCAGGAUUCCGUUCCCCUGAGAGCGUUCAAUGGUUAGUUCGUGCUUGAAGCGCUCUCAUCACUAGAACCUAAAGCUGUCGGCGUGUUGUAUAGUUUGUAUUUUGAUCUAAGCUCGAGUGUCCUGCGUAUAAAAUGCCUUGGAAUGGGAUUUUCGUUCUUAUUUUCAGUGUUGAAAGUUUAGAGAGACUAGCAAGCGAAGUUAUUUUAUGGUUACUGUCGGUGAAAUAUACGUCCCUUUCUGCGUGAGCUGUUUAUAAGCGCGGAGCGAGACCUGAGUUUCGUAAUCUCGACAACAGCGGGAUAUCGUUUCAACUCUGUGUAUCGCGCCGUUUUUUUUUUUUUUUUUUUAUCUUGUUUUUUUUUUUUGCUCAUUUUCUUUUUCUGAUUUUCUUUUUUGGUGUAUGUGCGUGGAAGGCGGUGGGAAGAAUGAAAGGAAGAAGUACGCUGCUCUUUUAACUCGUUAAUAGAAUUGUGUAACCCACGAACUUAGAAACGAUUUACGAGAGUGCGCCGAAAUAAAAGAAAUAAAAGAAAAAGAGCCCAAUGCUAGUCGAAAUGCUGACGUGUUGUUUUCUGGAGCUUUAAUUAAAGGUUGUUUCUUACUGA
rnacentral:sRNA from 1 species